UCGACUCGAGCGCCAGCGAGAGAGCGUUGCCGCAGGCAACGACCCGAAGGGCGAAGCGCGCAGCGCUGAGUAAUCCUUCCCCCACCACCA
rnacentral:sRNA from 1 species